rnacentral:rRNA from 1 species
UCGAGAAUCUUCCGCAAUGGACGAAAGUCUGACGGAGCGACGCCGCGUGGUGGAUGAAGUCCUUAGGGACGUAAACACCUUUUAUGAGGGAGGAAGUUUAUUGACGUUACCUCAUGAAUAAGGGGCUCCCAACUCUGUGCCAGCAGGAGCGGUAAUACAGAGGCCCCAAGCAUUAUCCGGAUUUACUGGGCGUAAAGGGUGCGUAGGCGGUUAUAUUAGUCGGGUGUUAAAUCCCGGGGCUCAACCCCGGAAUCGCAUCCGAAACGGUAUAACUAGAAUAAGUCAGAGGCAAGCAGAACUCAUGGUGUAGGGGUGAAAUCCGUUGAUAUCAUGGGGAAUACCAAAUGCGAAGGCAGCUUGCUGGGACUCUAUUGACGCUGAGGCACGAAAGCGUGGGUAACGAAGC